rnacentral:tRNA from 1 species
GUCCUCGUAGUCCAAUGGAUAGAAUGCGGCCCUGCGAAGGCUGUGAUGACAGUUCGACUCUGUCCGAGGACGCCA